rnacentral:lncRNA from 7 species
AUAUAGGUGCUCCUACCGCAUCACGGGCUGCUGCCUUCUGUUCUCACCUCUUGGGAUAAUGUGACCCUGGAAGUGAUUCCCAGACCUGCACCACAGGUGUCAAUGGGGGUGCCAGCAGGAACCUGGUGGCAGCAGUGGCGGGGGGCUGUGCUUCUGCCAUUGUCUUCAUCAUUGUCCUCACUGUCUUUUUCCUCCUUGUUGCUCAGAGAAGACGAAUGCAGACAGAUGAGAGUCCUGGUGCCGCCUCCAGAAGCCCCGAGGCCGUGCAGUUCCAGGUGUCCCCUGGUGACAGCGAGGGUCUGACCUACGCCCAGCUGCAAGCUGUGACCCCCAGCACCCACCUCCCGCGCACUUCUACCACUCCUGAACCCGUCAUUAUCUACGCCGAGGUGGGCACGUGGGGACCCCGCUGAUGCCCCCAGAUGUGUACGCAAACACGGGUGUGUUGUGUGCACACAUGGACUUCAAGGGUGCACAGUGCCAGUGUGCUCGGUGUGCUCACCACCACGUGUGAAUUACAGCCAUGUACCUGUGCGUGUGAACACGUGGAUGUGUAUUAAACGGGUGUGCACCAUCCCAUGUGCACAACAGGUG